UACGAAGGGGGCUAGCGUUGCUCGGAUUGACUGGGCGUAAAGGGCGCGUAGGCGGUUUGUACAGUCAGACGUGAAAUUCCUGGGCUCAACCUGGGGGCUGCGUUUGAUACGUGCAGACUUGAGUUCGGAAGAGGGUCGUGGAAUUCCCAGUGUAGAGGUGAAAUGCGCAGAUAUCAGGAGGAACACCAAUGGCGAAGGCAGCUCGCUGGGACGGUACUGACGCUGAGGCGCGAAAAGCGUGGGGAGCAAACAGG
rnacentral:rRNA from 1 species